GAUGAACGCUGGCGGCGUGCCUAAUACAUGCAAGUCGAGCGAACAGACGAGGAGCUUGCUCCUCUGACGUUAGCGGCGGACGGGUGAGUAACACGUGGAUAACCUACCUAUAAGACUGGGAUAACUUCGGGAAACCGGAGCUAAUACCGGAUAAUAUAUUGAACCGCAUGGUUCAAUAGUGAAAGACGGUUUUGCUGUCACUUAUAGAUGGAUCCGCGCCGCAUUAGCUAGUUGGUAAGGUAACGGCUUACCAAGGCAACGAUGCGUAGCCGACCUGAGAGGGUGAUCGGCCACACUGGAACUGAGACACGGUCCAGACUCCUACGGGAGGCAGCAGUAGGGAAUCUUCCGCAAAGGGCGAAAGCCUGACGGAGCAACGCCGCGUGAGUGGUGAAGGUCUUCGGAUCGUAAAACUCUGUUAUUAGGGAAGAACAAAUGUGUAAGUAACUAUGCACGUCUUGACGGUGCCUAAUCAGAAAGCCACGGCUAACUACGUG
rnacentral:rRNA from 1 species